rnacentral:rRNA from 1 species
GAAAGCAGGAAAGGGCGCAUGGCGGAUGCCUUGGCUCACGGAGGCGAUGAAGGACGUGAUAAGCUGCGAUAAGCCCCGGGUAGGUGCAAAUGACCUUUGAUCCGUGGAUUUCCGAAUGGGACAACCCGGCAGGCUGGAGGCCUGUCAUCACUACGGAUGUAGUGAGGCGAACGGAGGGAACUGAAACAUCUUAGUACCUCCAGGAAGAGAAAAUAAACUAAUGAUUCCCCCAGUAGCGGCGAGCGAACGGGGAAGAGCCCAAACCGGUGGCGUAGCGAUGCGCCUCCGGGGUUGUAGGACCACGCAGUCGUACUUGGAUUGUGAGAAGAAUGUUCUGGAAAGACCAAUCAUAGAGGGUGAUAAUCCCGUAUUCGAAGCAUGACGAGACGUAGUGGUAUCCUGAGUAACGCGGAACACGUGGAAUUCUGCGCGAACCCGCCGGGACCAUCCGGCAAGGCUAAAUACUCCCGUGAGACCGAUAGUGUACGAGUACCGUGAGGGAAAGGUGAAAAGCACUCCGACGAGGAGAGUGAAAGAGUUCCUGAAACCAUGCGCCUACAAGCGGUCGGAGCCGCGCGAGCGGUGACGGCGUGCCUUUUGCAUAAUGAACCUACGAGUUGCCAUGUCUGGCGAGGAUAAGCGUCACGAGACGCGUAUCCGCAGUGAAAGCGAGCCUGAACAGGGCGUCGAGUCAGACGGGGCAGACGCGAAACCAAGUGAUCUACACUUGCCCAGGCUGAAGUCCGGGUAACACCGGAUGGAGGGCCGCACGGAUAAGCGUUGAAAAGCUUCCCGAUGAGGCGAGUGUAGGAGUGAAAGGCCAAUCAAACUUGGAGAUAGCUCGUACUCCCCGAAAGGCAUUUAGGUGCCGCGUGCGGCGUUGUCCGCGAGAGGUAGAGCGACCGGUAGGUCGAGAGGGCUUCACCGCCUGUCGAGACCUGACGAACUCCGAAUGCUCUCGGAUCGCAGCCGUGCAGUAAGGGGGCGGGUGCUAAGGUCCGUCCCCGAGAGGAGAAGAAUCCAGACCGCCGUCUAAGGUCCCGGAAUUCUGCCUGAGUUAGUCUAACGAAGUCCGGUCCCCGUGACAGCUAGGAUGUUGGCUUGGAAGCAGCCAUUCAUUCAAAGAGUGCGUAACAGCUCACUAGUCGAGGGUCCGGGCGUGGAUAAUAAUCGGGUAUAAGGCAGAUACCGAAGGCGCGGGAUAGCAAUGUAUAUUGAAAGUAUCGGUAGGGGAGCAUUCCAUCGGCGUUGAAUGGUGAGGGUAACUGAUCCUGGAGCUUAUGGAAAAGCAAAUGUAGGUAUGAGUAACGAUAAAAAGGGUGGGAUUCCCUUUCGCCGAAAGACCGAGGUUUCCCGGGCGAUGCCAAUCAGCCCGGGGUCAGUCGGGUCCUAAGUCUCAGCCGAACGGCGAAGGCGAUGGCAGAUGCGGUCAAUAUUCCGCAACUCGCAUGUACAGUGAUGUGGAGACGGAGCAGUGACACUGCCGCGCCCUGACGGAACAGGGCGUUUAAGUGCGUAGGCUUUGAGGAAGGCAGGCAAAUCCGCCUUCCGAGCUGAACCAUGAAAGUACAGGUGAUCCUCCGGGAUGACCUGAGUGCAGGUAACCAUACUUCCGAGAAAAUCCGCUAAACUUAAUGUACAUGCGACCCGUACCGCAAACGGACACACGUGGUCGGGUAGAACAUACUGAGGCGUUGAGAGAUUCAUGGUCAAGGAACUAGGCAAACUGACCCCGUAACUUCGGGAUAAGGGGUCCUCAUGGCGACAUGAGGCGCAGAGAAUAGGUCCAGGCAACUGUUUAACAAAAACACAGGGCUGUGCGAACUCGAAAGAUGAAGUAUACAGCCUGACACCUGCCCGGUGCCGGAAGGUUAAGAGGAGACGUCACCAGCGAUGGGAAGCGUCGAAUUGAAGCCCCGGUAAACGGCGGCCGUAACUAUAACGGUCCUAAGGUAGCGAAAUUCCUUGUCGGGU